rnacentral:rRNA from 1 species
GAUGAACGCUGGCGGCGUGCCUAAUACAUGCAAGUCGAGCGAACAGACGAGGAGCUUGCUCCUCUGACGUUAGCGGCGGACGGGUGAGUAACACGUGGAUAACCUACCUAUAAGACUGGGAUAACUUCGGGACACCGGCGCUAAUACCGGAUAAUAUAUUGAACCGCAUGGUUCAAUAGUGAAAGACGGUUUUGCUGUCACUUAUCGAUGGAUCCGCGCCGCAUUAGCUAGUUGGUAAGGUAACGGCUUACCAAGGCAACGAUGCGUAGCCGACCUGAGAGGGUGAUCGGCCACACUGGAACUGAGACACGGUCCAGACGCCUAAGGGAGGCAGCAGUAGGGAAUCUGCCGCAAUGGGCGAAAGCCUGACGGAGCAACGGCGCGUGAGUGAUGAAGGUCUUCGGAUCGUAAAACUCUGUUAUUAGGGAAGAACAAAUGUGUAAGUAACUAUGCACGUCUUGACGGUACCUAAUCAGAAAGCCACGGCUAACUACGUG